rfam:Felis catus isolate Cinnamon breed Abyssinian chromosome A1, whole genome shotgun sequence.
GCCUGAGUGGCUCAGUCGGUUAAGCGUCUGACUUUGGCUCAGGUCAUGAUCUCAUCAUGGUUUGUGGGUUCAAGCUCUACAUCAGGCU